rnacentral:rRNA from 1 species
UAGGGAAUCUUCGGCAAUGGACGGAAGUCUGACCGAGCAACGCCGCGUGAGUGAAGAAGGUUUUCGGAUCGUAAAGCUCUGUUGUUAGAGAAGAACGUUGGUAGGAGUGGAAAAUCUACCAAGUGACGGUAACUAACCAGAAAGGGACGGCUAACUACGUGCCAGCAGCCGCGGUAAUACGUAGGUCCCGAGCGUUGUCCGGAUUUAUUGGGCGUAAAGCGAGCGCAGGCGGUUCUUUAAGUCUGAAGUUAAAGGCAGUGGCUUAACCAUUGUACGUGUGGGAAACUGGAGGACGUGAGUGCAGAAGGGGGGAGGAGAAUUCCGUGUGUAGCGGAGAAGUGCGUAGAUAUAUGGAGGAACAGCGGGGGCGAAAGCGGCUCGGUGGUCGGUAACUGGCGCAGAGGCGCGAAAGCGUGGGGAACAAACAGG